CCCAGUAGCCAUGAAAAAAAAGAUAGAUUUGACUACAUUUUUAAAAAGUAAAACCUUUCACUUUUUACAAAACUUUGAUAAAAUUAGAUUUCAUAAAUAAAGGAGUGGGAAAAUACAUGUAAUAGAACAGAAGAUUUAAGAUAAUAUAAAGAGCACCUACAAACAACAAAAAUUGGACAAAGGCUAUAAAAAUAUUUUAUAAAUAAGAAAUACAGACUAUAAACAUAAACUUUCAACCUCGUAAGCAAUCAGGAAAAUUAAAGUUAAAAUGAGAUACUAUUUUUCAAUACAUUGAAAUGGCAGAUUAUUAAAGAUUGGUGAUAGUGCUGGAGAUAAUGUGAGGAAAGGAGUAUUCUCAGUCAUUGUAGAAAUUGAUACAGCUUUUGGAUGGACAGUUUGACAGUGUGUAUCAACAUGUGAAAUGUCUCCAGCCUUUGAUCUAAUGACUAAUUUUAGGCAUCCAGCCUGAAGAAAUAUUCACACAAGUGCCCAAAGAGUCAGAUACAAGACUGUGUGAAGUGUUUUUUGAGAUAAUAAAAAACUAGAAACAGCAUAAAUGUACAGAAAUGCAGAAAUUGUUGAAUUAGUACAUACCAAUUUCUGACAUAUAACACUCUGCAGCAGAUAAAGACAAUAGCUCUCUAGUGUGGACAUGAAAAUAUUUCUAAGACAUUGACAGGACGAAGAAGUUGCACAGUAACCACGCACUCCUGUUUACAUUUGUAUAGUUAAAACUUGUUUACCUAUACGUAGCAUAUAUGCGUGUGUGCACCCUAGAAAAGAGUCUGUGAUAACACAUAUCAAGCUAUUGACAGCGGUUUUGUCUGCUGAAGGAGGAAAAAAGGGGGGCUUCUCACAUUUUACUCCAUUUAAUUCUAGGUUGUUUGGUUUAAAAAAAAAGUUUUUAUGUACAACAGACAAUUUUUAAAAUUCCUUUUCAUCAUAGAAAAUGAAAAUGUGUACUCUGUUAUCCUUUACGCUCUGUCCAUUUUUUUCUUCAAAAAUGUGUCUGACCUAUUAUCAAUGUGAAUGAAAAUGAGCUUUGCUACAUAACCUCUUUUCAGAGCUUUGUAUUCCUGAAGUGUUGGAGUCGCCUACAUGGCAUAGUCAAAUGUUUUUAACUUAACCACAACCCACAGUAAAAAUGAAGCUUUCUGCAAAGUUAAAAGUAGUAGUCCUGGCCCCACCUUCCUUGUGUGCAC
rnacentral:lncRNA from 1 species